CGCGUAACGACCGCGAACAAGGUUAAUGGCAAGGAACGCCCGUCGGGGCAAACAUUACCAGAACCAGGAGGGGGCGACCAGGGGUUUCUCCACAAACCCUAAUUCUCACAAAAUCCUUCAAAUUGAAGCUCAAAUCAAGCCCGAAUCGUCUGCAUGAUUACAAAUUCGUGAUCUCCAUUGAAAGGGGAGUCAUAAGUUUGACUCUUGACGAGCUAGGUGAAGCUUGGAGGAGAAGAUCAAACGGGAUAAAGGCACGAAUAAGACUUGCUUGGAUGAAAGGUAAGUAAAACUUACACCCACUUGUAGUAUAUGUGUUUAUUUCAUAACGAUGAAUACAAUAAAGGAUUUGGUUUGAAUCAUGGGUUCCGACCCAAAACGAAAUGGGUCAGAACCAACAAAAAUGGUUUAAACCAUGAUUAAUGGUGAAAAAGGCAAAAUGGUAAAUUAGUCACGAAUUGGUUAAGAAUUAGUGAGUUUUUCUUAAAGUUACCAUAUAGCGUAACUAGUAAUGGAAAAUGGGUAAAAAAUGGAAAUUUAGUCAAGUAUCGGCUAAAGUAAAAUCAGUUUCAAAGGACACCCAUAGCGUGAGCCGAAUGAGUUUAAAAAAAUAAAAUAAAAUAAUAUAAUAUAUAUAUAUAUAUGUUUAUAUAAGAAAUUGACUUUAGAAAGAAAGGGAUCUAGUGAGAAAAUCCGAAAUGGGUCGGAUAUGUGAUUGGUAAUUAAAAACCCAUGUUUUGUUACAUAUGAAAAUGUUGGGUUAUAUAGGUCGAACGGGUCAAAUGGUGGGAACAACGCCAUUUGACAAUAUCAACUAAUGUGGAU